CGUUCUGUAAGCCUGCGAAGGUGUGCUGUGAGGCAUGCUGGAGGUAUCAGAAGUGCGAAUGCUGACAUAAGUAACGAUAAAGCGGGUGAAAAGCCCGCUCGCCGGAAGACCAAGGGUUCCUGUCCAACGUUAAUCGGGGCAGGGUGAGUCGACCCCUAAGGCGAGGCCGAAAGGCGUAGUCGAUGGGAAACAGGUUAAUAUUCCUGUACUUGGUGUUACUGCGAAGGGGGGACGGAGAAGGCUAUGUUGGCCGGGCGACGGUUGUCCCGGUUUAAGCGUGUAGGCUGGUUUUCCAGGCAAAUCCGGAAAAUCAAGGCUGAGGCGUGAUGACGAGGCACUACGGUGCUGAAGCAACAAAUGCCCUGCUUCCAGGAAAAGCCUCUAAGCAUCAGGUAACAUCAAAUCGUACCCCAAACCGACACAGGUGGUCAGGUAGAGAAUACCAAGGCGCUUGAGAGAACUCGGGUGAAGGAACUAGGCAAAAUGGUGCCGUAACUUCGGGAGAAGGCACGCUGAUAUGUAGGUGAAGUCCCUCGCGGAUGGAGCUGAAAUCAGUCGAAGAUACCAGCUGGCUGCAACUGUUUAUUAAAAACACAGCACUGUGCAAACACGAAAGUGGACGUAUACGGUGUGACGCCUGCCCGGUGCCGGAAGGUUAAUUGAUGGGGUUAGCGCAAGCGAAGCUCUUGAUCGAAGCCCCGGUAAACGGCGGCCGUAACUAUAACGGUCCUAAGGUAGCGAAAUUCCUUGUCGGGUAAGUUCCGACCUGCACGAAUGGCGUAAUGAUGGCCAGGCUGUCUCCACCCGAGACUCAGUGAAAUUGAACUCGCUGUGAAGAUGCAGUGUACCCGCGGCAAGACGGAAAGACCCCGUGAACCUUUACUAUAGCUUGACACUGAACAUUGAGCCUUGAUGUGUAGGAUAGGUGGGAGGCUUUGAAGUGUGGACGCCAGUCUGCAUGGAGCCGACCUUGAAAUACCACCCUUUAAUGUUUGAUGUUCUAACGUGGACCCGUAAUCCGGGUUGCGGACAGUGUCUGGUGGGUAGUUUGACUGGGGCGGUCUCCUCCUAAAGAGUAACGGAGGAGCACGAAGGUUGGCUAAUCCUGGUCGGACAUCAGGAGGUUAGUGCAAUGGCAUAAGCCAGCUUGACUGCGAGCGUGACGGCGCGAGCAGGUGCGAAAGCAGGUCAUAGUGAUCCGGUGGUUCUGAAUGGAAGGGCCAUCGCUCAACGGAUAAAAGGUACUCCGGGGAUAACAGGCUGAUACCGCCCAAGAGUUCAUAUCGACGGCGGUGUUUGGCACCUCGAUGUCGGCUCAUCACAUCCUGGGGCUGAAGUAGGUCCCAAGGGUAUGGCUGUUCGCCAUUUAAAGUGGUACGCGAGCUGGGUUUAGAACGUCGUGAGACAGUUCGGUCCCUAUCUGCCGUGGGCGCUGGAGAAUUGAGGGGGGCUGCUCCUAGUACGAGAGGACCGGAGUGGACGCAUCACUGGUGUUCGGGUUGUCAUGCCAAUGGCACUGCCCGGUAGCUAAAUGCGGAAGAGAUAAGUGCUGAAAGCAUCUAAGCACGAAACUUGCCCCGAGAUGAGUUCUCCCUGACUCCUUGAGAGUCCUGAAGGAACGUUGAAGACGACGACGUUGAUAGGCCGGGUGUGUAAGCGCAGCGAUGCGUUGAGCUAACCGGUACUAAUGAACCGUGAG
rnacentral:rRNA from 1 species